UUCAUACUUUCUCUUUUGCCUUCUAGUUUGGCUGGACAUACAGAAUGGUCAUGUCUAAUCUGUGGCUCUUCUCUUCGCCGCUCAGCGGAUUAAUGUAAUGCCAGCAUAUGCUGAGGCCUUUGUCAAUUUCCGCAUUCACUCUUCCCACACACUGCAUGAGGCUGUAAAUCUGAUUGAAUCCACCAUAUCUGAUGAGCGUGUGAAGGUAGAGUUUGUCAGUGGAUUCGAUCCGCUGCCCACCAGAUCAUAAAGAAAACAGUGCAUGACAUUUUUCCUCAGGUCACUGUAUCUCCCUGUAAGGCUUUCAGCAUUGUGUCAUGAAGUACUGCAUGUUUGCUCUCUUUAGUAAGAGCUCAAGGGGUUUAAGUGGCCCUUACAUACAACAUUGACUCUCGAAGAGCUACUUUCACUCUUAGUCUUGUCAACAAAGCAGCUCUACGAUUUCCUCUCACAGGAAUCUGCAUGGGCAACACUGAUAGCCGUCACUACACAGAACUGUCUCCGGACAUUUAUCAGCUCAUGUACUGUAUAUACAACUAAAUAUUAAACAGCUUAAACUUCCCUUUAGAUUCCAUGGUGUGAACGAGAGAAUCUCCUUCCAGAACUAUGAAGAGAUUGUGCUGUUCUACUUUCAACUCAUACAGAACAGUGACAUCAGAAAUUUGCCGGCACCUCGCACCUGAAAAAAUAAACAAGUGCCAUGCUGUGAAAUUCUGUGGAAGCUUUGUUCUAGUUAUUCAAAGUUUGGGGGCAGUAAGAUUUUUUUUUUUUUGAAAGAAUUUAACACUUUUAUUCAGCAGGAUGCUUUAAAUUGAUCAAAAGUGGCAGCAAA